GAGGAAGGAGAAAGGGCGAGAGAAACAGGAAGAGAGGCAGAGAGACAAGGGAUGGAGGGAGGAAAAAAAGGAAAGAUGGAAGGGGAGGGAGGGUGGAGGGAUUAUGAUUUUUAAUCCUAAUUUGAUUACCGUGGGUGGAUGAGAAUUUGGCACAAAGCCUCCAGAAGAGGUGACGGAUGAGGGAGAAGUCAGACGAGCGUUUACAAGGCGCCGUAAGGGUGGGAGCAGUGGCGAGGGACGGAAACCCGAGUUCAGGCGUCAUCUGAAGAAAGGCAGGAACCUGAUCUAAAAUGGUCCCUGGCUCCUGUAAGUGUGCAUAUGUUGAUCGUCACUCAAGAGGCGUUCUGGGGGCAAGAAGUCAGGGCCAAAGGGCGGCUUUGCCCUUUCCAGGUCAAAACUGGGGAGAAGGCCGCUAAGGACCACUGGCUUCCAGGAGCGCGGGAACAUUUCCGGGGCGGCUCUGCCCCCUGCUGGAGAGGUCCCGUCCCCGUGUCCCCGUGGCGGUGAUCUCAGGCGUGGCGGGAGGGGUGCAGGCCGGGGACUUUCGGGAGCAGCGGCGGUGGAGCUUGACGGGGCUGGGACUUCUGGUCCUGGGGCGGGAUUCCAUAUUAACACGUGGGCCUCGGGAGAUUUUGGAGGCCCCGCCUGGCGUGAAUUGUUGGCAGAAGAGGAGGGGGAAGCACUGGCAGAACCGGGCAGAGUGUGGAGGACCCCGAAGCAAAGGCGGUGAGAGGGAACGGAAGGAAGGCCAGGGGGUAGGAGACCGGCCUGAGCGCGUGGCCCCUCCUGGGGGGCUGCUCGCAGGGACCAGUGAGGACGCCGGGUGCUGUCACGUGUGCUGCCGAUGGGACGCCUCUUUCCCGCUGCUCUGCCAGCCCUCAGUACCUGCUCUUGGCAGCUUCGCCUUCCUUCUCGUAGCCCUGUCUGUGUGACCUUCCCUUUCGGAGCAGUCACACGUUCUGUGAUGGGCUGCAGAGCCAGGCCGAGGAGUGCCGUGUGAGCACUGAAGGCCGAGUCCAGACCUCGCUGCUUCCACUAGACCAGGAACCUCCAGGUACCUCAGGGGCUUUGUCAUGUUGCAAAAAAAUGGGCAGGAAUUAAAACCCCUCCCUGUUUACUUCUCAGAUUGUUAUGAGAAUAAAUAUUUGAAAAUACUUUGUAAAUGAAAGUUUUCAGCUUUUGUAUUUUGAUUUUGUUUUCAAAACUACAAAAGGAAAUUUAUUUCAACAGCAAAAGAGAACAUUUACAUUCGAACACAGUGAUGAAAGGAUGUCCCGCGAAAGAAAAAAAAAAGCCCGUAACAUGAAGUUUUUUAUUUGAAUUUCUGAAACAAAAUAACUUGGGGAUUCUUGCCUUAGGAAAGGAAAGGGGGAACAGCACGACAGUUCUUCUUGCCAGAGCAUAGUCCUUGCAGCUUGGUUGUCUAGUAUCCGGCAUCAAUUCAUGACCUACCCUGAUCCUCAUACACUCCCAUCAUGGGCCUGGAGGGUUCAUCUCACCGUCUUCAGCACCAGCCUGCUUCCUGGGCCCCAAGAAGGAACCUCAGGGGAAGAGGUUUCCAGAAUUCUGUUUUAUUUGUUAUUCUUGUGGCCUGGAGAGAAUAUUAUUUCACUUAGAACUCCCUCCUGUUCCUUUUCCAUUCAUCGCAGAAAUGGGAAUCAAGGCCCUGACCGUUCUCUGAAGAUCACAAGGAGGAUAAACUUGCUUGCCCCUCUCCUUUGGGCAGGAUCCCAAGGGCCACGGCCCCUUGAUGCCCCUUAAUCUUGGCAUCAACAAGCCCAAAGUCUCUUGUGUGGCAUUGAAGGAACUACAGACCACAGAGGGUGGAGAGCAGGCUUCUCCUCGAGUCAGUGCAAGAGCAUUAAGACUUGGCUGUACCUUUACCCCAUCCUACCAGGUCUGAUACCCUUGCUCCUCUGUGAGGAUUUCCUGAAGAGAAAUUUACAGUGCGUCUUUCAUUCUUAAUCCUGGGAAAUGGUUUUGUUUGGUGAUGGCCAUUGACCAUGACUGCAGGGGGACUUUCAGAGUGAGUGAGUGUUUGCAUAUACAUUGGAAUUAGAAAGAACUUCCAGGUUCAGCCUCCUCCAUCAGUUAGGUAAAGAACUUUGAUCUGUGCCACACACGGGAUCAGUUCACCCAAAUCAACCCACUCCUAAUAAUGGGAACAAAAGUUGAUCACCCUAUAGCUUCCCUGCUCUUAGUGUGGCCAUGAGACUGGUGUAUUCAAAACUCCCAUUUAGUGCCACCUGGGUGACUCAGUCAGUUAAGCUUUUGACUCUUGAUUUCGGCUCAGGUCGUGAUCUCAUGGUUUGUGAGUUUGAGCCCCACAUUGGGCUCUGAACUGGCAGUACAGAGCCUGCUCGGGAAUCUCGGUCUCCCUCUCCCUCUGCCCCUCCUCUGCUAACAAAAAAUCUCUCUCUCUCAAAAAUAAAUAAACAUUAAAAAGAAAAAAAACCACCAAACAAAAAACCCUCCAAAAUUCCAUUCAAAACUCCCACACGUACUUCUCCACGCUCUUUUCCCCUUCCAGCUAUCUGGGACUGUCACUCCCCAGCAAGACCCUGGGAGCCAUGGGCUGGAGGAAGAGUGACUGUCCUUUCAUGACAAAGUAGAAGAGAGACACCCUACCUACCCCCUGUCCCUGCUGCAAGUGUGGCUAUUAAACUGCCUUACUGGAACUGGGAGAUCUUGCUGUUAAAUAUUUUAUGUGUGCCUUAGUUUACUCAUCUGUAAAACAGGAACGAAAUUUUUUACUUCACAAGGUUUUUAAACAAGUAAUAUGAGCGCUAAUGAAUGAUGGCCACCCAUUCUAGUGCCUGGCACGUAACAGAUGCUCACAAAAUCCUUGUUGAAUACAUAUCUUCAUUCCUGGAGGAUUGUUGUGAUAUUUCAAUGAAAUUGUCAUUUUGGAAACAGAGAGAUCAAGAUGGAAAAGCUAGUUGAUGGAAGUGAAAAGAUGAUAUUUCAGCCCCUUCCUCCCUCUGUUUUAAGAAGCUUGGACAAUCUGAGGAACUAGUCAUUUGUCCAGGGGAAUGGAGUAGCCUAUUGUAGGUAUCAUGGAAUCCGUAAUACAGGAGGAUGACAUCUGUUUAAUUUCAAGCCCCUUUUUAGUGUCUUCCCCAACCAAAGGACAAGAAUUUAUAGUCUCUGGGAUUGGUGUUUAAAUGAAGCAGCAGUCUAGGGGCACCUGGGUGGCUCAGUCGGUUGAGCGUCCAACUUUGACUCAGGUCAUUAUCUCACAGCUCGUGAGUUCGAGCCCUGCGUCGGGCUCUGUGCUGAUGGCUCAGAGCCUGGAGCCUGCUUCGGAUUCUGUGUCUCCCUCUCUCUCUGACCCUUCCCCACUUGCACUCUGUCUCUCUCUCAAAUAAAUAAACAUUAAAAAAAAUGAAGCAGCAGGUUUAUGUUUUUUUAAACAUAAAAAAAUGACAGUGAGGAUCAUAAACAGGAUCAAAAAUUCCUUGUACAGAUUUGUAUGGAUUUUUUUCUUUCUCUUUGAAAUAGAACUUCUUUCCUUCAGAGGACUUAGACAUCGUUAAAGAGUAACCUCAGGGAUCAGACAGACCUAGAUUUGAAUCCUGGGUAAAUUAGUUAACAUUCAGAUUAUCUGUUCCCUCGCUGUAAAAUUGGGGUUAAGUAUGCACCUCAUAGAGAUGUCCUGUUGCCAAAGGGAUUGCACAUAAAUUUGCCUGGCUCCUUCCUUUCCUUUGUCUUGCGAAGGUGCAUCUUGCUAAGACCCUCGGCUGGUUUGUGAAGCCACACUCGGUGGUGACCAGGAAUCUCCACAUCAUAUAAAGUUACUGCAGAGGACUCAGAGGGGUCGUGAGACUGCCCAGCCUGCAAAAGUCUAGGUUAUGCCUGCAGAGUAAAGAUCACAAAGUUCUGAGAAAGCUAUUUUUAAAUGGCUUCCUGCUGAAAGACCAGCUUUCUGGAAAGGUUUAUUUCCGGCCCAUUGUAGCUUUCCACCUGAUCUCCUACAAUCCUUCUGGUAUUUAUCCCCAUCUGCUGGUACAAUAUGAGAGACACUCCUUCCUCAGAGGCAGUCGGCUGUUGAUAGCCUUUUUGCUCAAGCACCACGCAGGGGCUCAGGCCAGCACUGAGAUCUGGGAGGAGAAAGAGGAAGUUUCUGGAACAGAAGAGAAACAGGGCUUCUUAUUAAAGAAGGGGAAUGUUAUUUUUAGUCUCGGCAUGAGUUGCUUUUAGUUGUUCCUCUGGGGAGUCAGCUUCUCUUUAAAGUGACUCUCUGGUAUGGGAGCUGUCAGGUUAGAGACCUGGAGAAUGUAACACUCCACACAGAGAACUUAAAAUAUCCACCGUUAUUUUACUCGUGAACCUGCUAUUUGCUCAGGGCUCCGCUGAACAGCUUGUCUCUACUUGAGCAGCACGGGCUAAGGCAGCUUGAAGGUUAGACGGGUGUGACGAAUGGCUGGUGACUGGAAUCGUCUCGAGGCUUCCUUCCCUGAUGCAUCUGCUGGUUGGUGCUGGCACUGGCUGUGAGCUCGAGUGAAAGCCAUUGGCUGAACACCUACAUGUGGCUUCUCCAUGUGGCCACUUGGCUCCCUCAGAGCAUGCUGACUGGGUUCCAAGAGGGGGCCUGGGCAGAAGCUGCAUUGCAUUUUCCUACCUAACCUCGGAAGUCACUUAGCAUCACUUCUACCCUUAUUGUAGGCCUCCAUUGACGGGGAAGGAGUGUAGGCCCCUCCCCUUAGUGGGAGGAGUGUCAGCAUCCACAACGUAAGACAGGAGACCUGUGUUGGCCUGUGGAGAAUGACUGUUUGCCACAGAGAGGAACGGGUGGAGGAAUGGAGGCAUGGGCUUGCUGGAAAAGUAAGGAGAGCAAGCUACUUUUUCUUUUACUUUCAAGUACAACUUUCAAACACUGGAAGAAUGGAUUGGAGCAUGUGGAGAAAUAACAAUGUAAGAGAAAACAGAAGUAGAAUUGAAAAAAUAUAUUUUCUUUAUUUGGGACACAUGGUGACACGAAGAACCCAAACUGGUUUUACACCAGACAACAAAGUCUUGCUUAGAAAGGCCUCCUCUAUUUCAAGAUUACUCAUCCAUGAUUUCUAGUAUUUCUGUGGUUUAACUUUUGAUAUAUUUGGAAAUCAUUUUGAUGAAAGGAGGGAACUCAGAGUUCAGAUUGACUUCUUCCAAGUGAUUAACCAGUUGGAACAUACACUUACUGAUUAACCAUCUUUUCCUUACUGAUUUGAGAUUUAUCACAUCCUAACUUCCUAUUUUGGGGUCUACUUCUGGACUCCAUUAUUUUAAUCUACUUUCAUAUCCUACGCUCAGAUAAUUCUCCAACCCGUGAGCUCUGGAACUAGACAGAUCUAAAUUCAGAAGCAGCUUAGCCACUGCCUACUUGAAUUCUUGGGCCUCAAUUUGCUUCUGUGUAAGUUGGGGAUAAUUGUAUAUAUCUGACUGGGUCAUUUUCAAGAUUGCAUGACUUCAUGUGUUGUGCAAAAGCGGAGACCAUUAGCUCCCAGCCCCGUGCAGGCUGGGCUCUCUGGAAGCCGGCUCUGAGAUGGAGCUUCGUGAGCGGGAUGUUUAUUUGGGGGUGCCCUAAGAUCAAGGCCUGUGGCUGGGCAGGGGAGGAGGCAGUAACUGGGCAGGGGGAAGACCUGUGUUGUGACGCGGACCCAAGCACCAGCCCAGCCAGCGAGAAGGGGCUCGAGCACAGACAGCCCUUCAAUACUGUCCUGGGCCGACCAGCAUUUGUACGCCGCAUCAAUCAGUGUUACUGGGGGCCAUCAGCGAAAUGAGUGUGACCUGGGUGAGGUGGCUCUCUGAGGCUGAAGCAACCCCCAAAGGAACAGACAGGUGGAAGCCUUUUGCUAAGUGUGUUCCCAGCGGCCGGGUGGACGUGUCCUUUGGUAAAGAGGCUUUCUUGGUUGCCUGUCACAGAGUUCACCACAGCCCCUCACUCAAAUGCUCUUCAUUUCUCCUCUCCCUUAUUUCCAAGUCUCUGAGUGAUGAACAGUUCGGCAGAGAUUCACGCUGGAAGGCUGCCUGUCCCGAGCCCUCUGGCAGGCGGCUGAAGUACUUUAUGCAUCACAGAGGCACUGGGAACGCACCGAGGUGUGAGGAGGAAUGAUUUUGCACGAGGUGGGGUAAGGUGAGGCGAUACAGCCUAAAUGAAACGAGCCAAGCAAGGAUUCGACAAACCCAGAGCUUUCAUCUCACCUUAAAACACUUCUCUUUUGAUCAUUUAUUUUUGUUGUUCAUUUCUGGGUCAAAAACUUGACUCUGAAGGGGAAUGUGAAUGUGAUAACCAGGCUGUGGAACGAUCCCGUGAUUACAGGGAAUCAUCUCAGAAAAGUAUUUCUGGAGAUCAAACAAGAUGAGGUCAUCAAUUUGCUUUUCUUUUUAUUAUAAAAGUAAAAUAAAAAAUAGCAUUUAUAAAUCCAACAUUUUUUCCUUUAAAGUAUUUGAUCUAAAAAACAUAUUUACAAUAGCAAAAUGCAGAAAAGGGGGAAAAUACCAUUUUCAGCACUGAUUGUAACCAUGUUUAAAUAUUGACAUGUACAGGUUCUUUUUUUCAAA